rnacentral:misc_RNA from 1 species
GGUUCGAUCAUGGCUCAGAUUGAACGCUGGCGGGAUGCUUACACAUGCAAGUCGAACGGCAGUACGGACUUCGGUCUGGUGGCGAGUGGCGAACGGGUGAGUAAUGUAUCGGAACGUGCCUAGUAGCGGGGGAUAACUACGCGAAAGCGUAGCUAAUACCGCAUACGCCCUUCGGGGAAAGCAGGGGACCUUCGGGCCUCGCACUAUUAGAGCGGCCGAUAUCGGAUUAGCUGGAUGAUGGAGUAACGGCUCACCAAGGCGACGAUCGUAGCUGGUUUGAGAGG